AGCGAAAUGAGGAGACAAAAUCAUCUGAAUUUUUACUGUGGAUAACACCUACAUGGUCUUCAAAGUUCUCUGAUCGCA
rnacentral:snoRNA from 1 species